AGCGGCGCAAGGGUGCGUAACACGUGGGUAAUCUGCCGGGAAGUUUGGAAUACCUUGUUGAAAGGCGAGCUAAUACCGGAUGUGACCGCUGGGAAACAUCUCCCGGGGGUUAAAGUUGGGGACCGUAAGGCCUGACGCUUCAUAAUGAACCCGCGGCCUAUCACCUAGUUGGGGAGGUAACGGCCCACCAAGGCUAAAACGGGUAGCUGGUCUGAAAGGACAACCACCCACACUGGAACUGAAACACGGUCCAAACCCCUACGGGGGGCAGCAGUCAAAAAUUUUUCACAAUGGGCGCAAGCCUGAUGGACCGACCCCCCGGGGGGAAUGAAUGGUUUCGGCCCGUAAACCCCUGUCAUUCCCGAUCAACCGUUGUUAUUUAAAAAAUGACAGCCUGAUAGUAGCGAAAAAGGAAGGGACGGCUAACUCUGUGCCAGCAGCCGCGGUAAUACAAAGGUCCCGAGCGUUGUUCGGAUUCCCUGGGCGUAAAGGGUGCGUAGGUGGUGAGGUAAGUCGAAUGUGAAAUCUCGAAGCUCAACUCCAAAAUGGCAUUGAA
rnacentral:rRNA from 1 species